rnacentral:rRNA from 1 species
AACGAACGCUGGCGGUAUGCUUAACACAUGCAAGUCGAGCGAGAAAAUGGCUUCGGCCAUGAGUACAGCGGCGACGGGUGAGUAAUACAUGGAUAAUCUGCCUUUAGGACCGGGACAACCCAGGGAAACUUGGGCUAAUACCGGAUAAGACCACAGUAUCUCCGGAUUCAGUGGUAAAAGAUGGCUUCGGCUAUCACCUAUAGAUGAGUCCAUGUCCCAUCAGGUAGUUGGUGAGGUAACGGCCCACCAAGCCGAAGACGGGUAGCCGACCUUAGCGGGUGAUCGGCCACACGGGGACUGAGACACGGCCCCGACUCCUACGGGAGGCAGCAGUGGGGAAUAUUGGACAAUGGGCGCAAGCCUGAUCCAGCAAUACCGCGUGAGGGAUGAAGGCUUUCGAGUCGUAAACCUCUGUCAGUUGGAACGAUGGGUCUGUAGGUUAAUACCCUGCAGACUUGACGGUACCUUCAAAGGAAGCCCCGGCUAACUCCGUG